GAUGAGUACUGUUUCUACAAUGGCAAAACGCACCGGGAGUGUCCUGGCUGCUUCGUGCCCUUCGCGGUGUGCGUGGUCUCCAGGUUUCCCUAUUACAACUCCCUCAAGGACUGCCUUUCCUGGCCGAGGAGAAAGCAGUUAACAACAGUUCCCUUUUGUGUCAUCAUGCUGGAGAAUGAGCCACGGCAAAUCGCUGAAUUGGUGCUGUUCUUGCUUCUUGCAAAGCACAGUCAUUUGAGACCUUCUGCCUUGACCAGAGGGACGAGCCCCAUGGAGAGUGAGCAGGAACCUUACUGUUCAAAUCAAUGACUCGUAAUUCAAAUCCCAGCACUUUAGUGGUUUACUUCUUAAAAUAUAACUGGCUUUUGGACAUAGUUUGGGUCUAGCCUACAUUUUAUUGCCAUAGACAUAAAAUAUCGUUGAGAACAGAGAGGUGACUUGGUCGUAGCCAAUGAGCAGGUGAAUUGAGCACAUGCAUGUUUGUUGACUGUCUGUCACCAGCGCCCAGGAAGUGACAGAAUGCCAAGCCUGUACAUGGUCCCCUUUUAUUCACUAACUGAUGAUCUUCAUUACUUGAAGGUAAACAGCGUUUUCACUAAUCUCUAGUUUCCUCUUCUGUAAAAUGUAGAUGGUUAUUUCCACCUUUUGUUUGCUGAAAUGAAUGGGUGGUCGCCAGACACAUGCCCUUGGAAGACAGGAAGAAAGGAGGUGUUUUCUCCGCCUCCUGGUCGAUGUUAUGUGUGUUUAUUCAGCAACUGACCUUUCAUAGUGUGAUUGGCAACAGAUAUCCUCCUGCUAGACAUUAAAGCAAACACAUAUUUAACUUGAAAA
rnacentral:lncRNA from 1 species